rnacentral:rRNA from 1 species
AACGAACGCUGGCGGCAUGCCUAACACAUGCAAGUCGAACGAGACCUUCGGGUCUAGUGGCGCACGGGUGCGUAACGCGUGGGAACCUGCCCUUAGGUUCGGAAUAACUCCCCGAAAGGGGUGCUAAUACCGGAUAAUGUCUUCGGACCAAAGAUUUAUCGCCUUUGGAUGGGCCCGCGUUGGAUUAGCUAGUUGGUAGGGUAAAAGCCUACCAAGGCGACGAUCCAUAGCUGGUCUGAGAGGAUGAUCAGCUACACUGGGACUGAGACACGGCCCAGACUCCUACGGGAGGCAGCAGUGGGGAAUAUUGGACAAUGGGCGAAAGCCUGAUCCAGCAAUGCCGCGUGAGUGAUGAAGGCCUUAGGGUUGUAAGCUCUUUUACCCGGGAUGAUAAUGACAGUACCGGGAGAAUAAGCUCCGGCUAACUCCGUA